UACAGAGGUCUCAAGCGUUGUUCGGAUUCAUUGGGCGUAAAGGGUGUGUAGGUGGCGCCGUAAGUCGGGGGUGAAAUCCUGGAGCUCAACUCCAGAACUGCCUUCGAUACUGGCGAUCUCGAGUUCGGGAGAGGUGAGUGGAACUGCGAGUGUAGAGGUGAAAUUCGUAGAUAUUCGCAAGAACACCAGUGGCGAAGGCGGCUCACUGGCCCGAUACUGACGCUGAGGCACGAAAGCGUGGGGAGCAAACAGG
rnacentral:rRNA from 1 species